GAGUUGCCCCCUACGGGGAGGCAGCAGUGGGGAAUAUUGCACAAUGGGCGCAAGCCUGAUGCAGCGACGCCGCGUGAGGGAUGAAGGCCUUCGGGUUGUAAACCUCUUUCGUCAGGGAACAAGGCACUGCUUUUUUGGUGGUGUUGAGGGUACCUGGAUAAGAAGCGCCGGCUAACUACGUGCCAGCAGCCGCGGUAAUACGUAGGGCGCAAGCGUUGUCCGGAAUUAUUGGGCGUAAAGAGCUCGUAGGCGGCUGGUCGCGUCUGUCGUGAAAACUUCCGGCUCAACCGGGGGCUUGCGGUGGGUACGGGCCGGCUAGGGUGCGGUAGGGGUAACUGGCACUCCGGGUGUAGCGGUGGAAUGCGCAGAUAUCAGGAAGAACACCGAUGGCGAAGGCAGGUUACUGGGCCGUUACUGACGCUGAGGAGCGAAAGCGUGGGGAGCGAACAGGAUUAGAUACCCUUGUAGUCCUAG
rnacentral:rRNA from 1 species